GUGCAUUGCUUUUGUUGUUAUAGUUGCUAGCCAAGCCCGAUCUGUCGGAUCUGAGGUGUAGUUGCCAAACACUCCCGGGCCGCAAAAUGAUCCGACCUGUCCCGUUGGCACAGUUCACUCAGGUGUCAGAGUCAGAGCAACGGACACUCAGAAAUCUCAUUCAGAUAUAGUCGGAUAUAUAGUUGGGGCUUUGGCUCCAGCCAGAAGGAGCAUUACGCAAAUGGCAAUCGAGUAAUUACGCUCCACUUCGACUUGGACUAACUUGCUGCUGCUUUGGGGUGCCUGCUGCUGCCACUCUGGCGGAUACUCAACGAGUGAAUGAACGAAUGAACAACAGGUGGCUGGCGACCAAUUGGCCAGUGGCCACUCGCUAAGGUCAGAUGUGUCCAUCAAUUGGCGGCGGCGGCAUUCUCGGCACAGAAUUGGUAGUGCUGCGUCAGCGGAUGCCUGACUUGGUUCCACAAUUCAAUUUAAUUGCAAUAACAUUGAAAAUAGCUUUGAGAUUCCAAAGCAAAGAUUGUGCGGCCCGUGGCUCCCACUAACCCAGUGAACUGAAUCGAGGAUUUUGGGUGGAGUGCACCAGACGAUUGCAACAGAGAGUCGUUGGCUGCAACCCGUUUGUGCCGCAGAUGCAACAAUUUCCUGGUCGCGAUAAGCCAACCAAUUGAAUUCAGUUUGGGCUCCACUUUUUUUUGGGGAGUGCUGACCAGGGGACCCCAGCGAAUUGUUGUGUAAAUAUUUACUCCGCUAAAUGCAAAUCAUGAUUAAUUUACCAGACCUAAAGCCACUAUAUUCCCCCGCUCUCCGCUCGGCUGACAUUUGAGCACUUGCCGUCCGUGUUGCCUGUCAAAAUACCAAACGACAUUCUAAUGAGCUCGUGCUCUCGGCUCAAGUGUUCUAGUUUGCCAUCAAGCUGAAUCUGCAGCCGUUCGUGAACUUUUCCAGCGGAUGAGAUGACAGAGCGCCAAUGGAAGCCUUAAAUAUCACAAUCGAUGGCAGAAGCCAUGCUACCAACUGCAGUAAAAACGAUAGUAUUGAAGAGGAGCCAAUAAUGAUCAACUUUUAAUACGGUUAAUAAACUAGGAGCUUCAGCAGAAUGUUUACAUUUUAUUAUAGUUAAAUAUAGGUAUUAAAAACUG